rnacentral:rRNA from 1 species
AUUGAACGCUGGCGGCAGGCCUAACACAUGCAAGUCGAACGAGUGGCGGACGGGUGAGUAAUGUCUGGGAAACUGCCUGAUGGAGGGGGAUAACUACUGGAAACGGUAGCUAAUACCGCAUACCAUCAGAUGUGCCCAGAUGGGAAUAGCUAGUUGGUGGGGUAACGGCUCACCAAGGCGACGCUCACUAGCUGGUCUGAGAGGAUGACCAGCCACACUGGAACUGAGGCACGGUCCAGACUCCUAGGGUAGGAAGCAGUGGGGAAUAUUGCACGAUGGGCGCAAGCCUGAUGCAGCCAUGCCGCGUGUAUGAAUAAGUCCUUAGGGUUGUAAAGUACUUUCAGCGGGGAGGCGUUACCCGCAGAAGAAGCACCGGCUAACUCCGUGCCAGCAGCCGCGGUAAUAC